AUUGAACGCUGGCGGCAUGCCUUACACAUGCAAGUCGAACGGCAGCACGGGGGCAACCCUGGUGGCGAGUGGCGAACGGGUGAGUAAUGCAUCGGAACGUGCCCAGUAGUGGGGGGUAACCAGUCGAAAGACUGGCUAAUACCGCAUACGACCUACGGGUGAAAGCGGGGGACCGUAAGGCCUCGCGCUAUCGGAGCGGCCGAUGUCUGAUUAGCUAGUUGGCGGGGUAAGAGCCCACCAAGGCGACGAUCAGUAGCUGGUCUGAGAGGACGACCGGCCACACCGGGACUGAGACACGGCCCAGACACCUACGGGAGGCAGCAGUGGGGAAUUUGGGAAAAUGGGCGCAAGCCUGAUCCAGCCAUGCCGCGUGCGAGAAGAAGGCCUUCGGGUUGUAAACCGCUUUUGGCAGGAACGAAACGGCGCAAGCCAAUACCUUGCGCUAAUGACGGUACCUGCAGAAUAAGCACCGGCUAACUACGUGCCAGCAGCCGCCGUAAAAC
rnacentral:rRNA from 1 species